AGUCUAUCUGCUUUGAUAUCGAUAUUUCCGUUUCGGAUCGAUCUCAGUUUCGCGUAUCGAUCAAUGUGAGGACUCUUGAUUCGGCACGCGCUGAUUUCUUAUAAUGUGACAUGAGUGGUAAUACAACGGGAGACAAUGAGGGAGAGUGCAAAAAAAUCCAAAGGGAUGCAAUCGAACGUUGGCAUGCGUUUGCCUAUUAUAUUUGCUUAUGUUAAUUGUAGUAAAUAAGGUUUCAUAAUCUGGAUAUAUGGGAUAGUUACGAUAAAAACAUGAUUCUUUUCAGUUGACACAUUUAUCAUUAUUAUUAUUAUUAUUGCACGCUUAAUUGUGAUUCAGAUAAAAAUUGACAUCUGCGUUCGUCGAUUUAUUUUAACAAAUUGUUUAAUUACGUCGUGUGGUGGAAUAAUCUUGUGGAAAAUGAAAGACGAAAAACGUCUGUACAUAGUGCAUAUAUUUUUAACCGUGAAUCUCGUUAACUUCAAGCUUGUAGUUGCAAAUAUUGAAAACUGACACCAGAAAUCGGAAACCAAGAUAUGGUGUCUUGAAGUUCAAUUCUGAGGUCCGAAAGCAGACGGAUGCUCUCAUCUGACAAUGAGACAACUGAUAAUGAAGAAAAUGAAGAUCGAAAAAUGUGAAACCGUGAGUUUUAUUAUUGUCAGCAAGAUGCCUUGGCCUUUGUUGUUCACAAUGAUUCUUAUCUGUUGUUUUAUUGGGCUGCUGUCAAAUUGUUUAUUCCUAAUUAAAAAAAAAAAACAAUAUAAAUCACUAGUUUAUCCAGACUAAUGACAAAAGCGUGGGGAAAAUUUUAUAUUACGUUACUUCCAAAACACGCCAUUUUUUUAUUACUACUGCAUUUGUCAGUGCAGAAUAGAACUUUCUAAAGCACAUUCUCGUGGACAAGGAACAUUUCAUGCUGAUCAUAUUGUUGCAGCGAUACUUUUCUUCUUCAUCAACAUUUUUAAUGGCAACAAUCUUUACUGAUAAUGAUAAAAACUUAUCUUUGGUGCGGAGACUGGAUCCUUGGAGAUAAAAAGAGUACAAGAGAUGCUUUCGCCUUUUUUCGACACGAUAGCAUAUUGGUCUUCUGUUUUUUUUUUUAUACAUAAAUAAAUAGUAUUUUUAAUAGAAAUAAUGCACGAUGCUUUCGGCAAUUUCGUAAUGCAAUUUUCUAGUUGUAGCUACAAUUUCUCCCAAAAUCAAUAAUCCUUUCUACAUUGUUCGAUAAAUGUCCGAUCGGUCGGCCGAAAAUAAAUUUAAUUCAUUGCAAUUCCGACGAGAUAUCGCAAUUUUUUUACUCACAAUGUUUUACUUUUUACCUGAAACAUAAAAUAAGCAAAGCUUUGCCGCAUAACUUCUCGUUUGUUGAAACACAUCAUAGACAGAUAAAAUAUAAAAAAAAUGAUUUAAUCGAUUAGUUAAUCGUCUAUGCAUGUAAAUUUCAUAACCAGAAACUAAUAGAUAACGAUUAAAAACAAUACUUUUAAUUUUAUUGUCUUUCGUAGCAAUAUUAUGACACCAAUUAAUUCGACGAUAUCGUUGUAUAAAGAACGUGAAUUAUAAUAAAAAUAGCAAUAAUUAUUCAUGAAAACGAAUUUAAAAAAAUAAUGCUAGAUAAUCAUGCUUGUGUUUAAAAUUAACAAAUUGUAUUAAUAAUUAUUUUUGAACAAUCCUGCUGGCAAUGAAGCGAAUGGAAUUUACGCGAUCGUUGGCGUACACAUAUAAAGAAUGUAAUAUAUCUAUGCAUGACCGUAAUUUUAAUGAAUCUUUAAAACAAUUGUCGGGUAAACGUUUCAUUUGGAAAAAAACAGAAAAUAUGACUCUCCGCACAAAUUGAAUAAUUUUAUUUGUUGAAAUUAAUAUAAUUGUUUUCUAGAAUAUGUAAAUUUUUUAUGGAACACUUAAGAAGAAAUAGAAUUACGGGGUUAAUUAAAAGCGCGUAAUGUAACAUAUUUUUGCGGCGAACAAAUGUAAUUCGUGACCAGUUUCAUUAUUAUCGAUAUAUAUGUAAAAAACAAAUAAUAAAUAUUUUCUAUCAUAAAAAAACACAACGCUGUGUGCACAAACGAAGCGAAAAUAUUGACAUUAAUUGAUCUAUUACUAAGCCGUGUGAGAAGAUUAUUUGAAAGGGCAUAAAUAAAGGAAAAAUAAGCAUAUUGUAAAAAUUAAGUAUUUAUGCAAAAAA